rnacentral:rRNA from 1 species
ACGGGAGGCAGCAGUGGGGAAUAUUGCACAAUGGGCGAAAGCCUGAUGCAGCAACGCCGCGUGAGGGAAGACGGUUUUCGGAUUGUAAACCUCUGUCUUUGGUGACGAAACAAAUGACGGUAACCAAGGAGGAAGCCACGGCUAACUACGUGCCAGCAGCCGCGGUAAUACGUAGGUGGCAAGCGUUGUCCGGAUUUACUGGGUGUAAAGGGAGCGUAGGCGGGCGAAUAAGUCAGCUGUGAAAUCCAUAGGCUUAACCUAUGAACUGCAGUUGAAACUGUUUGUCUUGAGUGAAGUAGAGGCAGGCGGAAUUCCGAGUGUAGCGGUGAAAUGCGUAGAUAUUCGGAGGAACACCAGUGGCGAAGGCGGCCUGCUGGGCUUUAACUGACGCUGAGGCUCGAAAGUGUGGGGAGCAAACAGGAUUAGAUACCCUGGUA